CUCUACAUUUUAUCAAGACCAAGACAGAAGUAAACUUAGCAAGGAAGAAACAAAACUAAGCGCAGCAAUAGUUGCUCAAAGUAGAGAAAAUAGGAAAAAUGAGCUAAUCACAUGUGACCCAAAACACAAAGCAAUGAUAUGAAAAGUGUAGCAGAAAAUACACAAUGUGAUCAAAGCGAUAUCAAUAUGUACUUAAAGACAAAAUGGCGGAUCCAUAGCUAUCCACAAGUGGCAACUGUGGUCCUGUUGCUUUUUUUUUUUUAAAUAUUCUAAUUUCCUUUGGUACCCCCAAAAAGAUAAAAGAGGGGAAAGGGAGUAAUAGGAACGUGAAAAGGCUUUGAUUAGUGUAUCAUAAAAUGUUAAUAUCAUUCACAAAAGAAUCUAAAAGAAUAUGGUUAGCAGGCACCACUAUAUAAGGUUCUGACACCGUAUUCAACUUCCCAUCUUAUGCAUCAAUGUGAUGUAGCCAAGUGCAAACAGAUCGUUUCUCUCACACAUGGACUUGACGAAUACAGGAAAGAUAUCAGCUUUCAAUGAGUGCAAUGAUAUGAAAAGUGUAGCAGAAAAUACACAAUGUGAUCAAAGCGAUAUCAAUAUGUACUUAAAGACAAAAUGGCGGAUCCAUAGCUAUCCACAAGUGGCAACUGUGGUCCUGUUGCUUUUUUUUUUUUAAAUAUUCUAAUUUCCUUUGGUACCCCCAAAAAGAUAAAAGAGGGGAAAGGGAGUAAUAGGAACGUGAAAAGGCUUUGAUUAGUGUAUCAUAAAAUGUUAAUAUCAUUCACAAAAGAAUCUAAAAGAAUAUGGUUAGCAGGCACCACUAUAUAAGGUUCUGACACCGUAUUCAACUUCCCAUCUUAUGCAUCAAUGUGAUGUAGCCAAGUGCAAACAGAUCGUUUCUCUCACACAUGGACUUGACGAAUACAGGAAAGAUAUCAGCUUUCAAUGAGUUCAAAUUACCAAGAACUAGCACAUACUUAAUGUCUAUGUGAUCGAUAGAUCACCUCAAUCUUUGAAGGAGAAGAUUCCAGGAAUAAAUUGAAACACUAUCUUUUCUUCUGCAUGUUUCACAUCGAUAUAAUUCCCAUAUUCUGUACGUUUCUUUUGGUUAUUACCUCACAGUCUGCCAGGUAGCUUUUAUAUCGUUGAAGUCGGUCUUUAACCUACUCUAUUCGCUUAGGCGACACAGGCAAAAAAAAAAAAGUCGCAUUUAUCCACUUGUCAAGGAAAUGACUGACUAUUAUAUCUUCUUCACUAGUUCAAUCCAUGCGAGUAAAUAUAUGAGCAAAAGAUCCUUAUUGUUGUUCAAAAAUCACAUGUUCUAGAGUAACAAUUGUUUCACAUUAUGUUUCAUACCAAAACAAACCAAAAUCAAUUCUCUCCUGACAAAUCACAAACAAUUCUUUCAAAAUCAAAUCCACACAGUAGAGUUACCUGGUGGGGGGUGGCGGGGUGCGCACAAGCUGGCCUGAACAUCACGAUUAUCCAAAACAACACUAAAACAAAACAAUUUCUAAUCCACACGGUUGGUUCAGAAUGUAUUCUCCAACUAUAACACAAUGAGUUAAGUUCUAUGUCGUGGCAGUGUAAAUAUUAUUUACACAAUUGGGUCACUUAUUUAUCUUGGUAAAAAUAGGUAAUUAACAUGCUAUCACAGAAUAAUGUAAAAAGAUCUUUACGAUGUCAGUGCAUACAACUUAAAUUCAAACAAGGUAUUAUGAGUAUUUCCGCAAAUUAUUGUUUUCAAAAACAAAAUAGACAAAAACCAGUCUUAGAACAAACUCAAAAUUAGUCCUCUCAAAACUAAAUCCCCCCCCCCCCCCCCCCNNNNNNNNNNNNNNNNNNNNNNNNNNNNNNNNNNNNNNNNNNNNNNNNNNNNNNNNNNNNNNNNNNNNNCCACACACACACACACCAAAAAAAUAAAAUAAUAAACCACCUUACUCCACCAGACGCAAAGUAGAAUAUAAUGUCCAACUAUAAUAACAAGCCCUUUUUUUUUUGUGUGUGUGUAUUUUCUCGAUCGAAUGCACUUCAUUCCGAAAUAUUCCAUCCAAGAAAAAUCACAAUUUUCGAAUUCUCAAACAUCGAACAAAAAAUUCGAGAUUAAAAGUAUUAGUUCCAACAAAAUCAAAAUAAAGAAAACAUAAUAGAUAACACUAUCGCGAACCAGAAAUAUAAAAAUAAAAAUCAUAUAUAUCAAAUAAUCCAUCAUGUAUGCGAGAAAUUACCUUAGUGCCACCAUCAAUCAGAAAAGGAUGAUCACAGAGAUAAAGAUAAAGAUCUUUCUUCGAACCGAACACAAUCGAAUCCGGUCCAUCACUAGACCGGGAAAUAAUAUCACGAUAAUCCGGCGGCAAAAACCGGUCCCAAAC
rnacentral:lncRNA from 1 species